AAAAAGAAGAAGAUAAG
rnacentral:sRNA from 1 species